UACAGAGGGGGCAAGCGUUAUUCGGAAUUAUUGGGCGUAAAGGGCGCGUAGGCGGCUUUUCAAGUGACGGGUGAAAUCCCUCGGCUUAACCGAGGAACUGCCUGUCAGACUGGAAGGCUUGAGACCGGGAGAGGUGAGUGGAAUUCCCAGUGUAGCGGUGAAAUGCGUAGGUAUUGGGAGGAACACCAGUGGCGAAGGCGGCUCACUGGACCGGAACUGACGCUGAGGCGCGAAAGCGUGGGGAGCAAACAGG
rnacentral:rRNA from 1 species